rnacentral:rRNA from 1 species
GAUGAACGCUGGCGGCGUGCCUAAUACAUGCAAGUCGAGCGAACGGACGAGAAGCUUGCUUCUCUGAUGUUAGCGGCGGACGGGUGAGUAACACGUGGAUAACCUACCUAUAAGACUGGGAUAACUUCGGGAAACCGGAGCUAAUACCGGAUAAUAUUUUGAACCGCAUGGUUCAAUAGUGAAAGACGGUCCUGCUGUCACUUAUAGAUGGAUCCGCGCUGCAUUAGCUAGUUGGUAAGGUAACGGCUUACCAAGGCAACGAUGCAUAGCCGACCUGAGAGAGUGAUCGGCCACCCUGGAACUGAGACACGGUCCAGGCGCCUACGGGAGGCAGCAGUAGGGAAUCUUCCGCAAUGGGCGAAAACCUGACGGAGCAACGCCGCGUGAGUGAUGAAGGUCUUCGGAUCGUAAAACUCUGUUAUUAGGGAAGAACAUAUGUGUAAGUAACUGUGCACAUCUUGACGGUACCUAAUCAGAAAGCCACGGCUAACUACGUG